CUAGGGCUGCUCCCACAGUAUAUGGAGCUUUUAGAGAGAUAACUAAGUUAAAAUGAGAUGAUUAGGGCGGGCCCUGAUGCAGUCUGACUGAUGUCAUAAAAAGAGGAAAUUUGGAUACAGAUCUAUAUACAGAAGGAAGACCCUGGAAGGUACAGGGAGAAAACUGCCUUCUGCAAGCAAAGAGGAGACAGAGACCUCUGAAGGAACCAGUCCUGCUGGCAACAUGAUGCUGGACCUGCAGCCUAUUGAACUGAGAAAAUAAAUUUGUAUUUCUUCUGAUUUGAUUUCUGGUGCGGUCUCUACCUGGCCUAUGGACAGCUGCUAUGCCUGUACAUGGCCUUUCCUUGGUGACUGUCUAAGGGGGAAGAGAGAGCAAGGUUUCUGAUGUCUCUUCUCCUAAGGACCCUAAUCCAAUUAGGUGGGGCCCAACCCUUAAGACCUCAUUUAGCUUUAGUUGCUUCUUUGGAGGCCCUGUAUCCAAACCCAGCCCCGUGAGUUAGGGGUUCAAUGGAUGAAUUUUAGGGGUACAAACAGACCUUUAGUCCAUAAUAUCUCCAGCUAAAUGCAACAAUGUGAAUGAACUUCAAAAAUGUAAGUGACAUAAACCAGACCAGAAGAAUACAUACUGGUUGAUUCCAUUUACUUAACAAAAAUAGGUAAAACUAAUCCAUGUCACUUGAAGACAAGUUAAUACUUUGGGUUGGGAGACAGUGAUUGGAAUGAAGCACAAAGUAAAAGGAAUGUAGGGGGCUGGUAAUGUUGGGUUUAUUGGUCUGGAUGCUGGUUACAUGGGUGUAUUCAGUUUGUGAAAUUUUGAUUUGUUUAUAUUGUAGAUUACACCUUAUUAAUAAUUUUUUAAUGCCCCAAGAUUAUGCUCACUGAGGGAAAAUGAAGGAAACAAAAACAACUAUACACACAAGCACUCGCAAAUAAUGCAUGUACACAUAUAUGUGUGUGUGAUCAUAGAAAAAUGUGCAUAUAUAACAAUAUGUAUUAAGAGUUCCCUUUGUGGCUCAGCAGGUUCAAAACCCAACUAGUAUCCAUGAGGAUGUGCUUUCGAUCUCUGGCCUCACUUAGUGGGUUAAGGAUCCAGCAUUGCCACAAGUUGCAGGGUAGAUCACAGAUAUGGCUUGAAUCUGGCCUGGCUGUGGCUAUGGCAUAGGCUGGCAGCUCCAGCUCUGAUUCAACCCCUAGUCUGGGAACUUCCAUAUGCCACAGGUGUGGCCCUAAAAAAGGAAAAAACAAAAAUGUGUUCAAGUGUCUAGAUACAUGGGUAUAAACAUAUAUAGAUAUAAGAUAAAAGUAUAAAUGUAGGUACAUGAUUUCAAAAAGCUACCUUGGCAUGUAUAUAAUCCAUCUGAAGAACAGUUUCUAUGGUUAACAAUGUUGAAAAAGCCUACGCCAUUGAUCAAUCCUCUUUUGUGAAUUGAAGACAAUGAGGCUCAGAAAUUGGCACCUGAGCCACAUAACUGAACUGGGACCAAGGCUCCUAAACCCUAAGUAAGAUAUCUUCCUACUGAGAGAUAAAGGCUUAGAGCUGCAAAAGGUCUUAAAAGUGAUUAUUCCCAUGCCCAUAAUAACCUCCUGACUAAGGCGUUUUUCAGUCUCUGCUACAACAAUCUCUGCAGAGGAAGCACCUGAGCAGUCAUUCCAUGCGAACUCUGUCCAACAUUCUCCUUUGCUGAGCUGAAAUCUCUACUGCGACUUCCACCACUUCUAAGAGUGGUAUAGAGUAAAAUUUGCAGCUUGGCAGGUAUGCAUUCUCGUGUGUGUGUUUGUGUGUGUAUGCGUGUGUGUACACUUUCUGUAACCAUGUAACCUUGGGCACAUCAGUUAAUAUCUCUCAGUCUGUUUCAUUUUAAAAUGUGAUUAUUAGUAAUAUCCAGAUAGAAGGUAGAGAAUUCAAGGAGAUAGAAAAUAUGUAUUAUACAUGCUUUGGAACAUACUCAGGUAUGGAUUAAUAUUAAUGCCCUUUGCCUUCUCUCUCCCCUGACUUCUCCUACACUAUAUUUUUGUUUUAAAAAAAUCACUAAAUGACAGCCUCAAAAUAUGUGAAGAUAGCUAUGCUAUGCACCCAUCCCUCAGUCCAUUUUUCCCUACAUGAGUCAGCUGGGAGUUACCUUAUCAGUGAAGAUCCCCUCCUGUGGACACUGAGCAGAGCUCAGGGUAGACACCCAUUCAGGACAUGGCUUUCCUCUCCUUUUUUCUAUGGAGUCAAGAAAAAGAUUUGAUCUCCCUGGCUCUGUAAGACACUAGCAAGGACGAGUUUUCUAGGAGAAAGGGGCCCAGACACAGGACACAAGCCAAUGCUAAUUCUGCUGAUUCUGAUCCACAUUCUCUUCUCAGAAGUUACCAACUUAGGAGUUCCCGUCGUGGCGCAGUGGUUAACGAAUCUGACUAGAAACCAUGAGGUUGCAGGUUCCAUCCCUGGCCUUGAUCAGCGGAUUAAGGAUCCAGCACUGCCGUGAGCUGUGGUGGAUCGCAGACACAGCUCUAAUCCCUCCUAGCUGUGGCUCUGGCGUAGGCUGGCGGCUACAGCUCUGAUUAGACACUUAGCCUGGGAACCUCCAUAUGCUGUGGGAGCUGCCCAAGAAAAGACAAUCAAUCAAUCAAUCAAUCAAUCAAUAAAGUGAAGACUCAAAGGUAGAGUUCAAUGCCUUAGUGAAUUAAGCAUGGUCCAGCAACAGGUCAAGCCUCAGUCUUCCAGGUUUAGACACCUGAGAUAGAGGAACAUAAAACAAUUGUCUGGAACUCUGUAGUCAUAUCCUGGAAGUUCUGGCAAGUGAAUGAUAAGAGAAUACAGAGACACUAAUAUGGUUUCUGGUAUCAGAGGACAUUGUCCUGCCAAGCGCCAUUGCUAAAAUGCUCCUGCUGGCCUAGCAGGUUUCUGAACUGCCUGGUUUCUCCUGGGCAGACUUGGAAGCACUGGCUGGAAGGGUUCAGAUCUCCUGCGUUGUUCAUAUGUAUGCUUCCUAGUACUUAGUCAAAGGCAGAGGAACAAAACCGUGAGGGUGGGGGAUCAACAACAAGGAGAUGACAAGACCAAGACCAGGAGACAGAUAGGUGGUGCAACACAAAAACUCUUAGAUUUAGAGAAAGAGACUGAACAGUUUUGCAGUCAAAUGCUGGAGGGUCUGCUAAAUGAUUCAGCAGCAUCCCUCUUACCUUUACCCCAAACCAAACCAUUCACCACAUCCCGUACAGACAGGGUAAGAGCGGACACGGCACUAGACCCUGAGCAAGGUGGGACGAGAAAGAACCCGUUCACUCCAGGAGGUUAAGGUGAGACCAUUAGACCCUGUGGGAACAAAGCGCUUUGGGGAAAGGAAAUGGCCGGGUGGUCAAGAUCUUGGGGAGAUAAAAAUUCUCAGGUGGGCAGUGGAGGGGCGGAGGGUCUUAAGUGGGAUCCAAGGUCACAUCAAAGGCAACAUCACAACCCAGAACACGACUCCCUUCUAACACACUCCCGCCCAGAAGUGUAGUCCACACCAAUUGAUAUUUCAGAUUCUACAUUUUUGUCUGCCCUCAGUUUGCUGUUCUCACUCAAGCCCACUUCUGCUCCCCUUUCCUCUGUAAUCUUCUCCCUACUCAUCAACACAGAUAUCUAACCACUUAAGAGUUUUACCAUGAGUUCCCAUUGAGGCACAGCAGAAACGAACAUGAUUAGUAUCCACGAGGAAGUGGCUUUGAUCCCUGGCCUCCCUCAGUAGGUUAAGAAUCCAGCAUUGCAAUGAGCCGUGGUAUGGAUUGAAGACGUGUGGAUCCUGCGCUGCUGUGGCUGAGAUGUAGGCUGGCAGCUGUGGCUCCGAUUCAACCCCUAGCCUGGGAACUUCCAUAUGCCAUGGGUAUGGACCUAAAAAGAAAAAACCUUCCUCUCUGGUGGCUGGGUAAUGAUAAGAGUAGGCAACAAGACACAAUUAAAGGGUAUUCUCGUAUUUACCAAAAUUCUCAAAAUCCUAUAGAUGUCCAACUAUCCCAUAGACAUUUUCAUCUUCACGCCCCUGCCCUCUCAUGCCAUCACUACUGCCACAGACACAAAAUGCCAAGUACCCCUGCCCCACUCUAUCACAUGGCCUAGGUGCUCCUUCCCUGACAGCUCCCUCCCUCAAAACUCAUCUUGAUGUCACGUAAGCACCCCAGAAAUUCUGACUAUCAUCCUAGACUCUCAAUAGCCCUGCAGAGAUAACUCCUAACUGACUAGGAAUCUCUCCUCAACGACGUGGCUGAGUCUCAUGGUCAACCAGCUGGGGCCAACUUCUGACCCCUUUGCCUAUAGGUUCCAAUUUUAGGCAUAACUUAGAGAAUGAUCAGGCUCCGGGAAAUUGACUUGUAGCAAGACUCAAGUGCCACUCACUCAUGAGUGGGGGAAGGUGAGAGUGUGGCAAUGUCCUGUCAUGGUGCCAGAGUCACUGCCUAUAACAAAUGGCCCUGCCAACUGCCACUGAAAGGCUAUGGCCCAAGGGAUUACGAUUGCCCAUUAUGAGCCAGGCAUGACAUAAUCGUGCACAAUGGGGAGAAACAUCAGGGUAGAAAGGAUAAAAUCAAAGAGAAUGUGUGAAUUGAAUGAAUUUUGCAACCCACCACAAUAUGGUAGCCUUUCAUUUCUAAGAGAACCAGAGUCACACAUUACAGAUAGAGACAGAAAUUGUUAUUAUUUGGCACCCCUUUAACUAUUCCCCCUCAUAUAGAGGGAACAAAAUAGGGGGGUGGGGGGAAGCAAUAUACGAAAUGAUCAAAUUUGUCAAGCUGUGGAUAAGUUUAGAGAUUUGCAUCAGAUCUUUCCACUGUUGUAAGCUAAGUGAGGUGGGACAAGUUCCUUACCUUCUCAGGUCUCAGUUUUCUCAUGUGAAAUGGAAGAAAUAUCAGUAGCUACCUCGGAGGGUGGAAUGAGGAUCUAUGGUCCGUGAUCAACAAAUAUCAACCAGCAUUAUAAUGUUGGAGAUUGUUUUCUCAUUGGUUCCACAAACUGAUUAAUCAUUUCUCCUUUUCCAGAAAAAAAAUUUAUUGUUUUUUUAUUUUUACUUACACACAGAUUCUUAAAAUUACAAGUCACAGAUGGUUUUCACUCUCUUAGUGUGGCUCCCUUCAGUCACAUCGAGAAGAAAUUUAGUCUCCCCACUGAGGCUUUUUCCAUGUGGGAAUGCUGUAUAAUGCUCUUUUCCACAUGUGUGCCAGCUCAGUCAGCUUUCAUGUGCCUUAAAUUUGUAUUAUUGCUUCUGGACAUGAGAGGCCUUUCCUACACAACCUUGGCCAUUUGACUAGCCACUGGCAUUUAAAGAAAAUAUUUCUGGUAAUCCCCAUCCUUCUCCCUCUUCCGCCUAAUCAGCACAUCAGGGCAGCAUGGCUAUGGUUAGGACCUCAGCCCCACUCUUUAUUGACCAGUCCACCUGGGUGGGGGGCAGAAAUGAGGGUGGCAGGAAAGAUCAGGACCUGAGACCCUGAAGUUUAAUGUCCUCCUCUAAUAUCUCCUUCCUGCAUGAGGAGGUGGUCCUUUCCAAAGAUAAUAAAGCAAGUAGCUAGUGAAAUUGUGGGACCUCUAGCAAUUCAGGGGAAAGUCAGCCUGGGCAAGGAUGGGCACAAAACCCUGAAAUUUUCUCUAGCAUAAAGACGGCAAAAUCACACACACACACACACACACACACACAUGUAGAACAAAUAAAAGUUGCACAGAGCUGUGCUGUGGGGACUCUGUCACUCCUUGUCUUGUCAAGGAACUGACCUGUUACUUCAGUCCUCAGACAACACCUAAAGCCAUGAACAAUAUUCUGAAAUAUUUCUCUGGUUUCUGUACUUACAGACAUUAAGCCAGCCUUCCCAGGCACAACUUGAUGGACAUAAGAUAACAGAGUCUUCAGUGACCACACAAAGAAGGACUAUAGUCCUUGCAAAAACAGUUUGGAAAAGUCACUAGACAAAUGGAUAACUGCACCACUCCACAAACAAUACAAGCAAUCCCUAGGGGAUGAGGACAUUGUAACUCCCAUAGCACAGCACUGCAUUCAGAAUAUCCAGUUUUCGAUGAAAAUAUGCAAAUGCAAAGAAAUAAAACUGUAUGGA
rnacentral:lncRNA from 1 species